UACGUAGGUGGCAAGCGUUGUCCGGAUUUACUGGGCGUAAAGGGCGUGCAGGCGGUUUGUUAAGUCUAGGGUGAAAGCUCCCGGCUCAACUGGGAGAGGUCCUUGGAUACUGGCGAACUUGAGGGAUGCAGAGGAAAGUGGAAUUCCCGGUGUAGUGGUGAUAUGCGUAGAUAUCGGGAGGAACACCAGUGGCGAAGGCAGCUCGCUGGGACGGUACUGACGCUGAGACGCGAAAGCGUGGGGAGCAAACAGG
rnacentral:rRNA from 1 species